rnacentral:rRNA from 1 species
CCUACGGGAGGCUGCAGUGGGGAAUAUUGGACAAUGGGGGCAACCCUGAUCCAGCCAUGCCGCGUGUGUGAAGAAGGCCCUCGGGUUGUAAAGCACUUUCAGUGAGGAAGAACGCCUGGUGGUUAAUACCCAUCAGGAAAGACAUCACUCACAGAAGAAGCACCGGCUAACUCCAUGCCAGCAGCCGCGGUAAUACGGAGGGUGCGAGCGUUAAUCGGAAUUACUGGGCGUAAAGCGCGCGUAGGUGGCUUGAUAAGCCGGUUGUGAAAGCCCCGGGCUCAACCUGGGAACGGCAUCCGGAACUGUCAAGCUAGAGUGCAGGAGAGGAAGGUAGAAUUCCCGGUGUAGCGGUGAAAUGCGUAGAGAUCGGGAGGAAUACCAGUGGCGAAGGCGGCCUUCUGGACUGACACUGACACUGAGGUGCGAAAGCGUGGGUAGCAAACAGGAUUAGAUACCCGGGUAGUC